UAUAUAUAUAUAUAUAUUUUUUUUCUUUUGAUUCCCAAUUUAUUUUCCCUACUGCCUUGUUUGAGACACUUUUUUCCUGCAAUAGUGUGUUUCAGCAGUUUCUAUUUGUCUCCUGUCUAAGUCAGCCAUUUUAUGGUGUUUUAGACUUAAGUCCAUUUUCAGUUUGUUUUGCUGGACUGUAUCAACGUGAGAUCGAGCUGAUGGUUGCAUGAUCCUUAAUGGCAGGAUUGUUACUGCACUAAUGCUGCCAUCUUGCUUCAUUUAAUCUAUGCAUUGCUGUGCACUUUUUUGUGUUAUUUUUGUAACUGGAAGUUUUAACAGGGGCCAUGCUUUGGCAGAUCAGAAAGUCCUACUGGUAUAACUGAAUAUUUUUUAUUUUUAUUGUUUUCUUCCUUCCCCCUCCUAAUUAUCAGAGUUUCACCCAUGUACAGAAAAACAGUAAGGGUGGAAUGUAAUCAGUGUAAAACAUUUCACAACUGCAUUUCCCCAAAAAUGUUUGACACUGUGCUAAUCUAGUUAAUUUAGUUCAUGGAAAAAUACUACUGUGUUUAAAAGCUUUUUAGGAAAUUUUGACAGUAUUUUUGUACAAAGAUUUUUUUGAGAAAAUACUUGUUAAGUUAUUCUAUUUUAAUUUGCCAAUGUCAAUAAAGAGCUGCAAAGUACAC